UUUUUUUUUUUUUCCUUUCCAAUCACCUGAUCAUUAAAAUGUGUGUAAUCUUUGGCAUAAAGCUGCUAUUAGAAGUGGCAGCAUGAUACUAAUGCCUAUAAUUUUUGAAAUUCCUGACUUUAAAGUAAACUGGUUUGGUUUGAUUAGAUCAGUAAUCACUGUACUUUAGGCCAAAAACACCUUGAAUAUUGGACAAUAACUAUAUAUUAGACACACGUAAAAUGUUGUUAUCCUGAGUUUAUAAUUGGAGAUGGAACUAGUUUUUGAAGCAUAGAAUAGAGAAUGAAUAUAAAGCUCAUCCUUGCAUGUUUCAUCAAGAGAGCCAAACUGAUACGUAGAAGGGAAUGCAAAUUUCAGGUAGAAUAUUCAAGCUUGGCACAUAGCUGCCCAGCUUUGAACAUUCCGAGUUCAGGCUCAACUGUGAUCCAAAUAUAUUCCUAUCUUGCCAAGCUUUGCUCAGUAUAACUUUCUUGAAACUGUUAGAUUAAACAAGAAUGCUUCUCCGGAAGGCUAGAAUACAUGGUGAUUAAUUACUUUAUUUCCGUUAGCUUUCUAAAAUAUAAGAACUGGCAAAUGUAAUAAUUCAAAAGCCUUGCAAGGUGAACGUUAGCUCAUAAAAGUUUUAGCUUUUGAAAAAAGCAGGAAUCAGCUUGUAUAAAAGUUUCAAUUUGCUUUUACAACAAAUGGUUCUAUUACCCCUUUUGUUAUGAUGUUGCUCUGCUUUUACUUAUUAUAGAGAUAGUGGGAGAUCCAGCAUGUGUACUUUUUGGUUACUGAAAUUAUGCCCAAGGGUACCCAUUAGCUCUUAGGGGGCCCCUAUGGAACCUGACAUGCAUAUUUCAAUUCUCUGUGUUAAAGAUGAAAAGUUGGAAAUAAUGGUUUAUAGUUGUGAUUAAUUUGUCUUUGAAUCUUGUCAACUGAUUAGCUUUGUACUGUAACCCGUAUUAGGAGCAUAAUGUUGAAACUACUGUGAUGGGGCAUCCGGGUUUCAACCUCUGACCUAUACCAUGAAGAUAGGUAUUCAACUAUUGAACUACUGGCCUAAUCCCUACGUACGAAUAUAUGUAGUUGCAGAUGACGGGAGAGAG
rnacentral:misc_RNA from 1 species